rnacentral:rRNA from 1 species
AUGACGUUGAUAGGUCGGGUGUGUAAGUGUAGCGAUACAUUGAGCUAACCGAUACUAAUGAACCGUGAGGCUUAACCUUACAACGCCGAAG